rnacentral:rRNA from 1 species
UUGACGGUACCCUACUAGAAAGGAGCCGCUAACCUCGUGCCAGAAGCGUCGGUAAUACGGGGGCUCCAAGCGUUAUCCGGUGUUAUUGGGCGUAAAGAGUCGUGUAGGUGGUUGGGUAAGUUAUCUUUCAAAUAUCUUUGCUUAACAAAGAGGAGGGGGAUAAUACUGCUCGACUAGAAUUUUCUCAAGGGAGAUCGGAACUGAGGGAGGAGUAGUGAAAUGCGUUGAUACCCUCGGGAACACCAGUGGCGUAGGCGGAUCUCUGGGAGAAGAUUGACACUGAGACACGAAAGCUAGGGGAGCGAAGCAGAUUAGAGACCUGCGUAGUCCUAGCCGUAAACGCAUGCUUGCUAGCUGCAUGAAUCUACCUUCGGGUGGUAUCGUGUGGCGAAGGUAACCCGUUAAGCAAGCCGGCUGGAAAGUACCGGCGCAAGGGUGAAAUUCCCAGGAAUUGGGGGGGGAGGCCCACAACCAUUUGGAACAUGUGGUUUAAUUUCGAGACUAACCGAAGAACCUCACCAGGGUUUGACAUGUAGCUGCACGUCUUAAGAAAUUAAGACUCUCUUGAAGGUGCUACACAGGUGCUGCAUGGCUGUCGUCAGCUCGUUCCGUGAGGGAGUGCCCUUAAGUGGGACAACGAGCGCAACCCCUAUUACAUGUUAGAUAUGUCAUGUAAGACUGCCUUGCCAUUUGGCGGGGAGGAAGGAGGGGCAGACGUCAAGUCCGCAUGGUCCUUAUGCCCUGGGCUACACACAUGUUACAAUGAGUACGGCAAUGAGUCUGUCGCGAGCACGUAAGUGUAAGCUAAUCUCUUANAUGUACUCUCAGUGGGGAUUGAGGUCUGCAACUCGACCUCAUGAACACGGAAUUGGUAGU